rnacentral:rRNA from 1 species
AUUGAACGCUGGCGGCAGGCCUAACACAUGCAAGUCGAGCGGAUGACGGGAGCUUGCUCCUUGAUUCAGCGGCGGACGGGUGAGUAAUGCCUAGGAAUCUGCCUGGUAGUGGGGGACAACGUUUCGAAAGGAACGCUAAUACCGCAUACGUCCUACGGGAGAAAGCAGGGGACCUUCGGGCCUUGCGCUAUCAGAUGAGCCUAGGUCGGAUUAGCUAGUUGGUGGGGUAAUGGCUCACCAAGGCGACGAUCCGUAACUGGUCUGAGAGGAUGAUCAGUCACACUGGAACUGAGACACGGUCCAGACUCCUACGGGAGGCAGCAGUGGGGAAUAUUGGACAAUGGGCGAAAGCCUGAUCCAGCCAUGCCGCGUGUGUGAAGAAGGUCUUCGGAUUGUAAAGCACUUUAAGUUGGGAGGAAGGGCAGUAAGCUAAUACCUUGCUGUUUUGACGUUACCGACAGAAUAAGCACCGGCUAACUCUGUGCCAGCAGCCGCCGCGGUAA